rnacentral:rRNA from 1 species
AGGGCACCACCAGGAGUGGAGCCUGCGGCUUAAUUUGACUCAACACGGGGAAACUUACCCGGCCUGGACACUGGAAGGAUUGACAGAUUGAGAGCUCUUUCUUGAUUCAGUGGGUGGUGGUGCAUGGCCGUUCUUGGUUGGUGGAGCGAUUUGUCUGGUUAAUUCCGAUAACGAACGAGACUCUAGCCUAUUAAAUAGGCUCCCGGCUUUUAAACGCCGGGAGGACUUCUUAGAGGGACAGGUGGCGGUUCAGCCGCACGAAAGAGAGCAAUAACAGGUCUGUGAUGCCCUUUGUUGUCCGGGGCCGCACGCGCGCUACACUGAAGAGAUCAGCGUGCUUUAUGUUCCUGCUCCGACCGGAGUGGGGAACCCAGUGAACCUUCUUCGUGAUUGGGAUAGAAGAUUGUAAUUAUUCUUCUUGAACGAGGAAUUCCCAGUAAAUGCGAGUCAUAAGCUCGCGUUGAUUACGUCCCUGCCCUUUGUACACACCGCCCGUCGCUACUACCGAUUGAACGAUUU